rnacentral:rRNA from 1 species
UACGUGGGGUGCAAGCGUUGUUCGGAAUUACUGGGCGUAAAGCGCGUGUAGGCGGUUCGCUAAGUUCGAUGUGAAAGCCCUGGGCUUAACCCAGGAACUGCAUUGAAAACUGGCGGACUUGAGUCCGGGAGAGGGUCGCGGAAUUCCUGGUGUAGAGGUGAAAUUCGUAGAUAUCAGGAGGAACACCGGUGGCGAAGGCGGCGACCUGGACCGGUACUGACGCUGAGACGCGAAAGCGUGGGGAGCAAACAGG